CGCUCAUAUCCAAACAUAACCUGUUAACCUUUUGUGUGAUGUAGUGAGAGAUUUUUGUCAUUCCAUUUUUUAAAUAAGAGAAUUAUUGUUAUAGUUGAUUUGACCUUGUUUGAAAAGAUAAUUAUCUUACUUCUACUCAUCUACAGUGAUUGGAAUAAUUUCAUCGAGACAUAAUGGCAUCAAAAAUAUUUUUCGAUCGUUGUUGUAAUCCAUUUGAUUUAGAAUCACAUUUUAAAAAAAAAAGUUUACGUCCAGCGACUGACAUCAUGAAAGUCACGUUGGGAUUAAGUGAUAAUUAUUUAUUAUGCAGUUCGUGUCGAAACAAAGCUUUAAAAUUGGUAAAGGAACAAACAAAUACUAGUAAUGAUACUACCGUUGAUGCAAGUGAUCAUGAAGAUGAUUCUAGUGAUAACAAUGAGAACAGUGAUGGUGCUGACAGUGAUAGUAACACAACUGCCACAGAUCUCCCGUUGUCAUCAUUCCGUUCCUUGUCGUUUAAUAGUGAACCCAAAGAUUCACAAUCAAGCUCGGCAUCCCAAGUUAGUGCUGCAACUCAAUUACCCAGUAUAAACGAUGCAUUGCGACUAUUAAAUCAAUCGCCAAUUCCUUCAAAAAAAUUGAAUGAUUAUCAAUUUUUGAGUAAUAAAAUAAAUCAGACGUCUGACAGCUUGAAAAAAAUUUUGCUCUCAACUGCUGACGAAGGAUCAAUUGAUGACGAUGGUGAAAAUUUUCGUUCAUUAAUUGAAAAGCUGCACGAUAAAUUCAAUGAUAAAGAAACAGAAAAGUCUUUAAAGAUACAAAUCUUAACCUUGUUACCUGAAAAAUGGGGUGAAAGACGUAUUUGUAAAACUAUGAAUACAUCAAGACAUUUAUCAAGAGUAGCAAAAAAGUUGGUUGAAGAAAAAGGUAUACUUUCAACACCUGAAACAAAAUUAGGGACGACAAUUACUGAUCAAAUAUUAUUGAAAAUUGCGAAUUUUUACAACGAUGAUGAGUAUAGUGCUUUGAUGCCCGGCAUGAAAGACUUUGUUUCAGUUCGAAAUGAUGAUGGUAAUCGGGUACACGUCCAAAACCGGCGUUUUCUGUCUAAUUUAAAAGAACUUUACCAAUGUUUCCGUGAAAUAAACCCCUGCAGAGAAAGUUGGAUUUUCGAAAUUUGCUUCGUUACGGCCGAAACAUUGUGUGUUAGCAGGAGCAAGUGGAACGCAUACUAUCUGUGUAUGUACUAUCCAUCAAAACUUUAAGUUGAUGAUGCUUGGUGCAAAUGUUCAUUCUUUAACGAGGAAUACAGAAAAGUCGUUGAAACACUAUAAUGAUUGCUUGGACAUGAUAAUAUGUGAGACUCCAACAGAAAAAUGUUAUUUGGGUGGAUGUAACAAGUGUCCAGGGGUAGAUGAGUUGAGUAACAUUUUACUGACAUGUUUUGAGAAUCAGGAAAUCGAGAAUGUCACGUACAAGCGUUGGGUAUCAAAACCAAGGUGCAGUUUAGAAACUUUUAUACAGCCUACAGAAGAAUUUAUUGAAAACCUUUGUAGUGAAUUGAAAGUUCUUCUACCUCACUCAUUCAUUGCAAAAGAACAAGCUAAGUUUUUAAAAACAUUAAAGGAAACACUAAAACCAAAUGAAUAUGUCAUUAUUUGUGAUUUUGCAGAGAAUUAUGCGUUCGUAGUACAAAAUGCAGCAUCUGGUUUUCACUGGAAUAAUGAUCAGGCGACAGUUUUUCCGUUUAAAAACUUUAAAAAUUUUGUUAAUUUGUACUACCAUGAAGAUGAUUUUGAUAUUCCUGCUGAAUGGCAUUUUUUUGCAACUGCCCAUGGCAAAGGUACGUGUGAUGGAAUUGGUGGUAUCCUCAAACGACUUGCAGCAAGAGCAAGUCUCCAGCUUGCGGUAGAUAAACAAAUAACAACACCUAUAGGACUUUACGAAUGGACUUCUGAUCCGGAUAACUUGCCAAAUAUCAUAGUCAAGUUUUCUCCAGAAGAAGACUAUAAUACAGCAUUGAACGACUUGAAUGACAGAUUUACAAAAACGAAACCAAUUGUAGGAACUCAACAACUACAUUGUGUAAUCCCCGACAAAAAUGGUUGUUUGUAUGUAAAAAAAUUCUCAAACUCUAAUGAACAUAGAAUUUGUAAAAUAUUGAAACACCAGAGAGACCAUU
rnacentral:misc_RNA from 1 species